UCCUGGCUGGCUCAGUCAGUAGAGCAUGAGAUUCUAAAUCUCAGGGUUGUGAGUUCAAGCCUCAUGUUAGGCA
rnacentral:tRNA from 2 species